AUGUCCGAUAACGGGGCUUCAGUAGUGAAUCUAUCAGCACCACAGCAGUGGCAUACAACUUUGGACCUAAGGGCUGGUCCCGUUACCUUUCGGAAUGGGGGAUCCCCGUUGGCAACAACCACGUAUGCCACUGUCCAAUGUCACAUACCUGAUUAUUUAGCAUUGGAACCCCAUUUUUCAUGGGAUAAACAAGCGAGCGGCACCUCCCCUUUUCUGUUUGGGGUAAAGGAUCCCAUUUGGUUGAUGCUGUGCUGUGAUAACCUGGUUGGCAAGUUUAUGUUUUUCUUCUGGUUCAAACACGAAAAUUUAUGUUAUCCUGUUUUUAUUUGGCCUGCAGUGACUCCUUUUGUCCGAAGUGAAGAAAUGUCAGUUACUUCUUUCAUUGCAGUAAUGCGACCAUCAGUCCGAAUUAACUUCUGGACACAGCAUAUUUGUUUCCAUUGUGUGUUGAUGCGUUCUAUUCUUUACUGUAUGGCUAUGAUGAUUUUUGUGCCCCUUGUGGUGCUGGAGAUCUUUCACCAUAUCCUGAGAUGGAGAUGUUUUUACAUCUCCUAG
rnacentral:rRNA from 1 species